UCCAGGGCUGCAGCCCUGGA
rnacentral:misc_RNA from 1 species